UCCUACGGGAGGCAGCAGUGGGGAAUAUUGCACAAUGGGGGAAACCCUGAUGCAGCGACGCAGCGUGCGGGAUGACGGCCUUCGGGUUGUAAACCGCUUUCAGCAGGGAAGAAGCGCAAGUGACGGUACCUGCAGAAGAAGUACCGGCUAACUACGUGCCAGCAGCCGCGGUA
rnacentral:rRNA from 1 species